UGGCCCUUGGCCGGUGCCCUUACACAUGCAAGUCGAACGAGGGCUUCGGCCUUAGUGGCGCACGGGUGAGUAACACGUGGGAACCUGCCUUUCGGUUCGGGAUAACGUCUGGAAACGGACGCUAACACCGGAUACGCCCUAUGGGGGAAAGUUUACGCCGAGAGAGGGGCCCGCGUCCGAUUAGGUAGUUGGUGGGGUAAUGGCCCACCAAGCCGACGAUCGGUAGCUGGUCUGAGAGGAUGAUCAGCCACAAUGGGACUGAGACACGGCCCAGACUCCUACGGGAGGCAGCCGUGGGGAAUAUUGGAAAACGGGGGCAACCCUGAUCCAGCAAUGCCGCGUGAGUGAUGAAGGCCUUAAGGUUGUAAAGCUCUUUCUCACGCGACGAUGAUGACGGUAGCGUGAGAAGAAGCCCCGGAUAACUUCAUGCCAGCAGCCGCGGUAAUUCGAAGGGGGCGAGCGUUGUUCGGAAUUACUGGGCGUAAAGGGCGCGUAGGCGGCCUGUUUAGUCAGAAGUGAAACCCCCGGGCUUAACCUGGGAACGGCUUUUGAUACUGGCAGGCUUGAGUGCAGGAGAGGAAAGUGGAAUUCCUACUGUAGCUGUGAAAUGCGUAGAUAUUGGGAGGAACACCAGUGGCGAAUGCAACUUUCUGGACUGUGUCUGACGCUGAAGCCCGAAAGCCAGAGGAGUGAUCGGAAUUAGAUCCCCUGUAAACCUGGGAAAUAAGAUGCAACUAGGUGUAGGAAAGUAUCGACCCCUUCUGUGCCUAAUCACGCAUAACUACCCCGCCUGGGGAGUACUGCCGUUUGUUUGAACUCU
rnacentral:rRNA from 1 species